UCAUAAAUCUCUAAUAAAUAUUUUCUCCAUGAUUCAUGAUUGAAAAGCUUGAUUGAUUAAAUAUAUUCCGAAGGGUGUGAUAUUUUUAGUGAAUGUGAAGCUCAAACAGACAGACAAUGGCAAUUGGAGAUGUUCGGUGUUGGCAUACAAACAAAAGAGAUAUAAUUCUUUCUUUUGAUUAGAAUUUUGUUAUUGCUUUGAUUUUCAAAAACUCUUAUCUUUUGGUACUAUAGCCACAACCAUCCUCAGUGGGUUUUCCAUAUUCCAUUUGCUUUCCUCUCUUUUUUCUUUCUGUUUGGAAUUUUCUUGCUAAUCUAGGACAGGUCGGAUUUAUGGUCCAAUUUGAUUAUUUUAAAUAUAUUUUAUUUUAAGAACAAAAAGUAAUAAAAAGAAACUAUUUCCAGCACUGCUUGCUAAUUGUUGUGCUAACUUCCCUUUCGAUUCAAGACUAAGCACUUUCUCUUCCAGAAGCCAUUUUUCCUUUCUUUUUUAACAUAACGCUAAAGAAAAAGAGCUCUCUUUCCUUUCUCUCCCAUUUUCUUUUUGCUUCUGCCUUUUGGGUUGCACAGUCCAUUGGUAAAAUAAGUGGGAUGCUGUGGUUCUAAAGAGUUGGAGACAGAGAGAGAGAGUGGGAGAAGAAAAAAAAAAAGAGAUGGGUUCAUGUGUUUCAGUGCAUAAGAGCUCUCAAGAGUCUGCCAUGAAACUUGGGCUUUCUUUAGAGCCUAAAACAGAUAGCCUUAUCAUUCCACCUUCACCUGUUAAAGAGAAACCUGCUGCUGCCAAUGGUGACUUUGCACUUAAAUCUCAAUCUUCCUCUACUUUUAAAGAUUUAGGUAGUAAAGAUGAAACUUUUUUUGAUUCCCGAGCGUAUCUCGAUUCAGAUUGUGAGGAUGAUUUCGUUAGUGUCAAUGGGGAUUUUACUCCUUCUCAUAGUAAUACCCCAGUUCAUCAGAGCUUCUCUGUGGGGACAUCUCAAGUUAACAAAGUCGGUGAUGAUGGAUCUCCAGGGUCAGUUUCUGAAACAUCCCCAUCGGGAAAGAAAAAGAAGCUGGUUGAACUAUUCCAAGAGAGCAUUAGGGAUGACCACGAUACUUCCGAGUCAAAUACCUCAAGCAACCAGGACACUGCCAAUGAAAAGAUAGUCAAACCAACUAUCCAAGACAUACUACCUCCAAAAUCCGCAGAUGGUACCCCUUAUGUCUCUGGAGCUAACUCUUGCUGCAGUAGUGAAAGGACUGUGAACGGAGAUAACCCUAUCUUUAAAGAGAAGCCAUUAAGGUCCGUACAGUGUUGCCUUCCCAGCUUGGUUUCAUGCAGUAGUUUUAGUGAGAGGAAGAAGAAGAUGAGCCCUGCAAUAGCUGCAAACAAUAAGCCGUAACUUCCAUCUGCUACCAGCAAUUAGAUUGAAGAAGCCUGGAUCUUGAUUCCCAGAGAUCAUUUGCUCAAGAUGACUUCAAAUUUUUGUCAGAAUUAACGGAGUCUAGGUGUCAUGGUUACUUAAAUAUGGGAUUUUCGGAUUCAGGGCAAUGAAAAAAAGCUGCCUGGCCCAUUAGUAGUAUAUCGUCUCAGUCAACCUGAAGGUAAUUUUGGGAUGUUUUCUUGCACCAUUGCUGUUUUAGCUGUGUUCAAAAGGACCCUAAAGAAGAAAAGGAAGAAACAAACUUGAGUAACGAAGGGGCAUAGAUUGUGCAUUUACUUUUCGGAACUCUUCGGACUUAAUACAGUUAGAAAGUGGUAAGAUCAGACUGUAGAGACCUGAAACCAAUCUACAAUAUGUUGUUGCGGUUUUUGUCUCACAAGUGUGAGAUUAAGUCUAUGUGUCUUGAGUUUUUAAUGUGGGAUUGAGGUGUUAAACAUGGCUUUCAUAGUACGGAAGUGGUUGUGAAGGAUGCGCCAAGUUAGCAUUGGUCUCGGCUUCAUCACAUGUUGCCAUAAGAGGACAGCAAGAUGUAAACAGAAGAAAACAAUCUAUAUCAUUUAUUGCUCUGUUCUUAAUCAAAUGAAAAUAUCUUCAUUAUUUAACUGAAACUUUAUGAAAAAGAAUUGGUGCAACUUAACAAGGUUGUACACGGCUGUUGAAUCUCUUCUCUUUGAUCUAUCCAUAGGUGAAAAAAAACUGCAAAAAAUGAGUGCAACUGUGGAAGACUGAACUUAGAAAGAUGAAAACAAAAAAAAAAAAUAUGUGUGGUUCAAACAAAUCUGCUAUUGUACUUUUGUUUUAUUUUUCCCUUAAGAAAGCUUGGGUCUUUCUAGAUGAGGAAAGGCACUCAAAAUGUUGUAAGCCCGCAAGUCUUGCCUGGUCAAGAUCCCAACUACAGGAGCUACCUGCAGAAGCAACUUUGUAAGUAAGGUGUACAAAAAUGGAAGAAUAAGCAUGAAAAAGAAGAGAAGUGUUUAUGGUUAGUAAACUGACCCCUGCACCUUGAUACUUUGGCACGAUGAGCAAAUGCCGGAGUCCGACUUGCCUGAACAGCACCAAGGCUUUAGCCACUGACAAGCUUUCCACCACAGUGAAAGGGGUUGUGUUGGUGAGAGGAUGUAAAUCAACAUACAUUUCCAUUUCAUCACGGGUCACUGCCACCUGCUCAAUCUUGAUUUCCCUUUCAGCAAGUUCAACCCAGUUGAAUUUCUCCCUCACUUCCCAUUCCUCAGUUCUUCUUUUCUCUGGCAGGAACCAUUUUUUCUUCAAGGCUUGAACAAGGUGAGCUCUGAGGAUCAGUCCAUGCAGUUCGGUUGCACCGGUGGCUACCAUGCCUGGCACCGGCACACCCUGGUCUACGAUGGGGAAUGCAUUAUGUGUAGUGUUCCUCAAUACGUCCACGAUCCGUGAAACCUUUUCCACCCCACAAAGAGUGACUACCGGUGGCUUGACAUCAGCAAGCUCGCCAACUGUGAGAUUUCUCAUCCAGGGUUCAGGAUUUGCAUCCAGGAAAGGAAGGCCUUUAAGUUCCAGUAUAAUCUCAUAGAUACUGGGGUUGAAGCAGUCUCCAACAGUUUUGGCAAUCAAAAGGACUAUCAUAGUUAUUGGCAGCAAAAGAAGGUUGUUUGUGAGUUCAAGGAAUAUGACACAAAGUGACACAGUCAUCCUCAUUGAGCCAGCCAUAAGGGAGCCUGCACCAAGAACAGCAAAAAGACCCUCGUCUAAGUUUGUAUAUGAUCCCAUGGCCAUACUGAGAAGUCGACCAUAACCUGAGCCCAUCAGAAUGAUAGGGAGGAAGAGACCAGAAGGAA